rnacentral:rRNA from 1 species
GACGAACGCUGGCGGCGUGCCUAACACAUGCAAGUCGAACGGAGAUACGAUUUCGGUUGUAUCUUAGUGGCGAACGGGUGAGUAACGCGUGAGCAACCUGACCUUUAGAGGGGGAUAACACUUGGAAACAGGUGCUAAUACCGCAUAAGACCACGACCUGACAUCAGGAUGAGGUCAAAGGAGCAAUCCGCUAAAGGAGGGGCUCGCGUCCCAUUAGAUAGAUGGCGGGGUAACGGCCCACCAUGUCGACGAUGGGUAGCCGAGCUGAGAGGCUGAUCGGCCACACUGGAACUGAGACACGGUCCAGACUCCUACGGGAGGCAGCAGUGGGGAAUAUUGGGCAAUGGGCGCAAGCCUGACCCAGCAACGCCGCGUGAGGGAAGAAGGCCUCGGUUGUAAA